ACAAAUGUUUUAAAUGCUGCACUCAUGAUCUUAUUAUCCAUCAACUUGGUCUUGCUCACUAUGCUUAAGGUUAGAGAAGAACAAAUACACUUUUGGUUCUGUUGGUGUUUUUCACCAACAGGGUCCAUGCACUUGAUCUCUGCCUUGUCUCUAUGAGCAGGUACACUUCAAGCAAAACCGGAAGGAGUUUUACAACUCCUAGAUUCCACCAAGUGAAGGACUUGGAUCAACGAACACAAACACACUGAGCAAGAUAUUGCCACCGCCGCACUUCGAACUACUGGGCAAACGAAGAACAUGGGUGACACCGUAUCAAGAGGAGCAGACGUCAGGGUCCACACCUGAAUCAAAUGACGCACCUAAAGAAUGAAUACAUGAGAAGUCUUGUUCAGAAGACUUAAAACAUUGAACCCUCGCCGAAAGAUAAAAUCGGUAGUUAUCCAUAUUUAUCCUUUCUGCAUUCCCUUUUCCCCUAAAUUAUUUACUUUCCUUAAAUGGCUUGUUAGUUAUUCAUGCUAUCUUGAAAAGAAAAUAAAAAUGUUAAAAAUAGUAAGCCCCAUGUGAGUAUGCAUGUGGCAUAAAACCCAUAAGUACAUUCAUUGUGGUGGCGUAAAAAUAAAAUAAAUAUAGUCCUGUCCUAUAGAAAUGAAAAUAUAAAAAAAUAAAUUUAUGAUCCUACCAAAGAGAGUAACAUUUAUUAAGGAGGCUCAACAUGAUAAAGGCUAGAUAUUUAUGCUAACACUUAACUAGUUCCACAAAGCUUUGUUGUCUAUUUGAGCUCCACAGAAUUCAAGGAUCAAAGAAGACUAGCAGACGGAGGACAUCCUAAUCGCUGUGAGGGUGCUGCCGACAUUCAAAUACACCUCCACCACCUGCUAGCUACAUCAGAAGAAAUUACGUCAAAAUCCAGCUUGGGGGAGAGCACCCUCAUUUAUCUAGCUAAGUGUUUCUACUCAUGUUUAUACUUUACUCAAAUAAUAAAAAGAUGCAUAAUCAUAAAA
rnacentral:lncRNA from 1 species